rnacentral:rRNA from 1 species
UACGUAGGGUGCAAGCGUUGUCCGGAAUUAUUGGGCGUAAAGAGCUCGUAGGCGGUUUGUCGCGUCUGCUGUGAAAACCCGGAGCUCAACUCCGGGCCUGCAGUCGAUACGGGCGGACUCGAGUUCGGCAGGGGAGACUGGAAUUCCUGGUGUAGCGGUGAAAUGCGCAGAUAUCAGGAGGAACACCGGUGGCGAAGGCGGGUCUCUGGGCCGAUACUGACGCUGAGGAGCGAAAGCGUGGGGAGCGAACAGG